GAUGGAUGCCACACAGCUUGGCAAACCUUUUCCCCCAGGCAGCUGGUUUGUUAAGCUUUUUCCAGCGCUCCGCUAGGAAGGUCUUUCCCAUCUGCCUUUCCGGGCUUCCUGCAAUCACCAGGUCAAGUUCACCUACGUCCCGCUCUGCUGAGUCCUUUCCUCUCCCUUACCUCUCCUUGAGCCGGUUCAGUUUGGCCCUGCCUUCAGGUCCAGAAAGACUUCCUUCUCCGCCCUUCAAGAUAACAGAUCGGUGAGUACUGAAUGUGUCAUAGAACUGCCCAGAUGCAAUUUCUUUUUUCUUUUUUCUUCAGUUAUUUAUUUUUGAGAGAGACAGAGCACCCAAGCAGCGGAGGGGCAGAGAGAGAGAGAGAGAGGGAGACACAAAAUCCCAAGCGGGCUCCAGGCUCUGAGCUGUCGGCACAGAGCCCGACGCAGGGCUUGAACCCACGAACCGUGAGAUCGUGACCUGAGCCGAAGGCCAACAACGCUUAACCGGCUGAGCCCCCCAGGCGCCCCUACCCAGAUCCGUUUUAAAACAGACUCAGUUUUCCAGAGAGGGCGGAUGCUGGGCUGAACCGGCAGCGGUCUCAUCAGCCUCAAGAGUGCCUGGUGACGCCUCUGAGCACAGAAUGCCAUUCCUGUUACUUUUCCCGGACCCGCAUCAACACGUCCUGAAAAGCUGGCGUCCUGAGAAAGGUGAUCUCCGUCAUGGAAGAGAGAGACAGAGCAUGAACAGGGAGGAGCAGAGAGAGAGGGAGACACAGAAUCCGAAGCUGGCUCCAGGCUCCGAGCUGUCGGCACAGAGCCCGACGCAGGGCUCGAACUCACGGACUGUGGUCUCACUGUUGUUUUCAAACAAGGUACACAUUCGCAGAAAAUUACAUAGCAAUCCUACGGACUUAGGUAAGAAUGAAAGAUUUACGUUCUCGUGUUCUUGGUGGUGCCUUCGGCACGAGUGAAAACCAAACGAACAGAAAGUCAGGCAAACAACAGAAAAAAAAGGAAAAAAAAAAACCCAACCCUGCAGGCCUCCGGGUUCUCCAGAUCCGGAGAUUUCAGCUUGGGUCAUGAGCUCAUGGGGUUGUGAGUUCGAGCCCCAGAUGGGGCUCUACAGUGACAGUGCAGAGCCUGCUUGGGAUUCCCUCUCUCUCUCCCCCUUUCUUUCUCUCUCUCUCUCUCCCUCGCUCUGUCUCUCCCCCCUCUCAAAAUAAAUAAAUAAACAUUAAAAAAAAUAAUACUCACCUUAAAAGGGUGUUUGUUAGAAAAAUAAAAAAAAUAAAACGUCCUCAUGGACCGUCUUGAGAUUUGAGCAUGCAAAUCGUGUGGGACCAACAGACUGUCUUGGCUUAUAAGAUUCUUAAAUUAGAAGCAACAGAAAUACGGUGGAGGAGGGUCAGGGGCGAAAUGUGAGAUUCUUAAGUUGUAAACAGCGGAGGUAAAAUUUGGACGCAUUGAGUCAAAGUGGGCCACACCAUACGGCUUCUGGAGCGUCCCCUGCAGCCAGGAGCAGAGAGAGGCAGUGUAGGACUCGGAGGCUGUAGGACUGUCUCCACCGCUGUCCCCUGUCCCCUCUCGGUCCCUGCCUUUCUCUCUGCGGACAGCUGUCCUUUGCCUCUGUGUCCCACGCGAUGGGGGGGCCGGCUCCGCUCGCCGCUCUCACAAGGCUGACCUCACUCAUAUGCUACCUGACUGAUGAAAACGGGUUCCCCUUUAAAUUCCCGGGGUGGAAAUCUGGCCCAGCCUAGGUCAAGUGUCCCCCGCGGAACACCCCCCCCCGUCCCCCCCAGGGAUGGGCCGGAGGGUGGGGUCAGCUAGAGCAGAGAGGGUGUGUGCGCCCUGCUGGACCUGCAGCUCAGGGCUGCUUUGCAGGGAAGGAGGAAUCCUUGUGACCUGAGAGUCUGACACAGCAUCGCACGGCCAGGGUCUCGAGGGAGGGUGGUAGUGUGGAGGCGGCCCAGCCGAAUCGCCCCCUUCCUGCCGUGUGCCCCCCUCCCCCGCCAUGACUCUUUCUCUCCUAGUCUCGUUGUGUGUCCGAAAGAUUGAAGCUGUCCUAUUUGUUUCGGAGAGACUCACGGGGAUUACGCGCGUAGAACUCUAGAACAAGCAGGUGGUGGUUUUGUUUUACUCAUCUGCAGGUGUUGGUGUCUUUCUCUAAGGAGGAAAGUGACGGUCACGUGUCGCUGAGGUGUGCUGGGGCUUGAGGAGAGCGUGGGGCCGGGCCUCCUCUUUUUCUUUUUUUUUUUUUUUAAUUUUUUUUUUUUAACGUUUUAUUUAUUUUUGAGACAGA